GACAGAGGGUGCAAACGUUGCUCGGAAUCACUGGGCAUAAAGCGCACGUAGGCGGUUCACUAAGUCAGAUGUGAAAUCCCCCGGCUCAACCGGGGAACUGCAUCUGAUACUGGUGAGCUUGAGGGUGGCAGGGGUGGGCGGAACUCCAGGUGGAGCGGUGAAAUGCGUAGAUAUCUGGAGGAACACCGGAGGCGAAAGCGGCCCACUGGACCACAUCUGACGCUGAGGUGCGAAAGCUAGGGUAGCAAACGGGAUUAGAUACCCCGGUAGUCCUAGCCGUAAACGAUGGGCACUAGGCAAGGGAGGUACCUAUGUCCUUCCUUGCCGUAGCUAAUGUGUUAAGUGCCCCGCCUGGGGAGUACGCUCGCAAGGGUA
rnacentral:rRNA from 1 species